CGCCCGCUGGAAACCUGUGUCCAGAGCAGGAGAGCAACCGGAAGUGAGGCCUGCUGGCUGAGAGAGACCACUGUGAGCAGGGCCCCGAAACUCACCGGCUCGUUCUGGGGCGCUUUCUUCCCGACUGUUCGCACGCUGAAGGCCUUGUGCUCACCUCGCCUAUUUGUGUGUCUUCUCAGCACAUGGAGACCCAGAAGAAUCAGUGUAAAAUAGAUUUGGACAGCAAAUUGCCUUUCUGCAGUUGUGUUAUGGCUACCAUUGCAAUUAAGAAAUGGAAAAUGAACUUCUGAGAUCCAAUGCAGUCGGCUUUCAUCAGCCUCAGAACCAUGUAUGGAAAGAAAACAAAAUACAGAUGUAAGAGGAUGGCAAAAAGAGAAAACCCAGCAAAAGCACUCAGAAGUGGUGCAAGAACCCUGGGUGAAAACCAACUUUGGGAAAAUAGCAGCGGAAGACAUCUGCCAUCCGUGAACAGGCAGUGGUUUAGUUGGCUUCAUACCUGUGUUCCCUCAUUUAUUUUGAGUAAAGAAAAAAAUC
rnacentral:lncRNA from 1 species